rnacentral:rRNA from 1 species
UACAGAGGUCUCAAGCGUUGUUCGGAUUCAUUGGGCGUAAAGGGUGCGUAGGCGGCGUGGUAAGUCGGGGUGUGAAAUCUCGGAGCUUAACUCCGAAACUGCAUUCGAUACUGCCGUGCUUGAGGACUGGAGAGGAGACUGGAAUUUACGGUGUAGCGGUGAAAUGCGUAGAUAUCGUAAGGAAGACCAGUGGCGAAGGCGGGUCUCUGGACAGUUCCUGACGCUGAGGCACGAAGGUCAGGGGGAGCAAACGGG